GUCAUACUGUGCGUAGGAGCUGGGGCUGGGUGAGUUGGUGUUCACAUUGGAGCUGGCCGUGGCUGCUGUGCUGUUCUGAUGGGAAGGACCCUGAGAAAGAGAAACGAAAAACCAAAUUAAAAUCAUAUCUCAAAAUCGCCACGCUCGCAACGCCCAAACCGUUCAACACCUUUCUAAUGACGCCCGGUGUCGCUCGCCAGUACAUUUGCACGGAUUGUGAAAAGUGAAAAUCACUAAAUCUCCCCGCAGGCCAAUCCGGCUCAAAAGCGGGCGUUUGCAGUUUGAUAAACCUGUCAUCCUACCCGCCCUUGCGAAUGGCUCGUAAAUUGGACAAAAAAACACACUCACGGAACAACAACCGUUGCGUGACACCCGGGCGGGAUCAAGCCAGCCGCCUGAAAAGAUUCCACCUGUUGCGCUGUUGGCGGACCGAUUGUCCGUUGGCCCGCCGGUGGGAAUGAUGUGUAGGUUAUAUACCCAAGCGCGACGAGCGUUUAAUUUUUACUUUUUAUACGCGCUGUUGCAGCAUACUAGAGAGGGUUUCCUGCAGCUCGUUUACGCUGCCCAGACGGGGCCAACACACUGCUUCUCCUCCCAUCAAGCCAUCCAACCGGCCUGCUCGGCUGCUGCUAGAGACAUGGUGGAUUGCUGUCAACUCAUCAAACAAAACAAAAAAAAGAAGGCGAACAAAAUAUAAACGUCAAAUGUCCAUGCCGAUUCGGUUCGAUCGAUUGACGGAUUUCUAGGUUUUUUUUUCUGCUGAGUGUGUGUCGCCCUUCCCUCUCAUCGAAUCGGGUGUCUUGUUGAGACCUGUCUGCUCCUCCUUUAUCGAUCGGACAGUUGUUGAUCAUGCCCAUAACGUUGUUUGAAACUCGCGGCCGGAUGGCGGGACAAGGGGAUUUGUUUUUAUGUAAAUAUGCUAAUUUUCAGCUUCGAGAGCUUGAUGGAUGAAUCGAAAAGGGGAUGCGAGAUAGAUAAAAUCCCCCAAUCACUCCUUGCUAUUAGUCGACCUGGGGUGAGGUGGUGGUGGUGGGGUUGGGGUGCGUUUUGUAUUAUAUCUCUUUGCUUGAAAUAUUGUUUCUCGCUCUAUUUAUUCCAGCUCACUUGACGAUUCCGAAAUCCUUCAUCACGUUCGUCAUCUCCGGAGCAAACACGGCGCGAUUUGAAACAAAUGGGACACACAUUUUGAAACCCUCCCCAGCUUCCCCCUCCCCACACAAAAACAGAACAGGCCCAGCACAAUGGGCACGGAGGACAUUCGACAGCUCGAGGCAACCUGUCACGGCGACGAUCGGAUCGUCCAGACCCUGAUCGCGCCUCAAAGGCACCUUUCGUUGGCUGAACUUGCUGCGCACUGGAUCGAGAAAGGCUUACCUGCAGGUAGAUCUGCGUGCUGCCGGGGGCAGCAUACAUGGUUUCCGUUGAAGGACUUCCAGGGCUGGGUGGAGGUUCUUUAAUGUGCAGUGACGGCGACGAUACC